rnacentral:lncRNA from 1 species
UGUAUUCCAUAUAAUUUUAAACUACACAAACACACACAGUCAAAUGUGAACCUGUGUGCUCCAAACAUAGUCCAUGUCCACACUUCAAAGUUCAAAUAUGCAAAGGAUUUCACGGAUCAAUUACUUCUAUCUGAAUUUGAGUUUUAUUACAACAUAAGCUUUUCAGAAAUACAUAUUAUACUAAAAGAAGUGAAUAUGUUGCUAGUUUAGCAAUAAUACAAAAAGUGGUAAAUAUUUGUAGCUAAAUCAAUUGGAAUAGAUUUACCUGAAGUAGACUCUUCUUGGAGGAGAAAUCUAACUGAAAGAAGGCAAAUGGAAUAAUGGGACAAACACACCUUAUCAAGAGUAUUUUAAAGAACACCUUAUGAUGCACUUUAUAGAGUAUUUUAAAG